rnacentral:rRNA from 1 species
AAUGGUGGAAACACUGAACCAGCUAUCCCGCGUGCAGGAUGAAGGCCCUCUGGGUUGUAAACUGCUUUUACCAGGGAAGAAACGUGUGGAUUUAUCUGCACCUGACGGUACCUGGGGAAUAAGCACCGGCUAACUCCGUGCCAGCAGCCGCGGUAAUACGGAGGGUGCAAGCGUUAUCCGGAAUCACUGGGUUUAAAGGGUGCGUAGGCGGCUUGAUAAGUCAGAGGUGAAAGCUCACGGCUCAACCGUGGAAUUGCCUUUGAUACUGUCAGGCUUGAAUUAGGUUGAGGCAAGCGGAAUGUGACAUGUAGCGGUGAAAUGCUUAGAUAUGUCAUAGAACACCGAUUGCGAAGGCAGCUUGCCAAGCCUUGAUUGACGCUGAGGCACGAAAGCGUGGGGAGCGAA